rnacentral:rRNA from 1 species
CCUACGGGAUGCAGCAGUAGGGAAUCUUCCACAAUGGACGAAAGUCUGAUGGAGCAACGCCGCGUGAGUGAAGAAGGGUUUCGGCUCGUAAAGCUCUGUUGGUAGUGAAGAAAGAUAGAGGUAGUAACUGGCCAUUAUUUGACGGUAAUUACUUAGAAAGUCACGGCUAACUACGUGCCAGAAGCACGGGUAAGACGUAGGUUGCAAGCGUUGGCCGGAUUUAUGGGGCCUAAAGCGAGUGCAGGCGGUUCAAUAAGUCUGAUGGGAAAGCCUUCGGCUCAACCGGAGAAAUGCAUCAGAAACUGUGUAACUUGAGUGCAGAAGAGGAGAGUUGAACUCCAUGUGUAGCGGUGGAAUGCGUAGAUAUAUGGAAGAACACCAGUGGCGAAGGCUGCUCUCUGGUCUGCAACUGACGCUGAGGCUCGAAAGCAUGGGUAGCGAACAGGAUUAGAUACCCUGGUAGUC